UACGUAGGGGGCAAGCGUUGUCCGGAAUUAUUGGGCGUAAAGCGCGCGCAGGCGGUCCUUUAAGUCUGAUGUGAAAGCCCACGGCUCAACCGUGGAGGGUCAUUGGAAACUGGGGGACUUGAGUGCAGAAGAGAAGAGUGGAAUUCCACGUGUAGCGGUGAAAUGCGUAGAGAUGUGGAGGAACACCAGUGGCGAAGGCGACUCUUUGGUCUGUAACUGACGCUGAGGCGCGAAAGCGUGGGGAGCAAACAGG
rnacentral:rRNA from 1 species